rnacentral:rRNA from 1 species
GACGAACGCUGGCGGCGUGCUUAACACAUGCAAGUCGAACGGAAAGGCCCCUUUGGGGGUACUCGAGUGGCGAACGGGUGAGUAACACGUGAGUAACCUGCCCUUGACUUCGGGAUAACUUCAGGAAACUGGGGCUAAUACCGGAUAGGAAUCCUUGCUGCAUGGUGGGGGUUGGAAAGCUUCGGCGGUUUUGGAUGGACUCGCGGCUUAUCAGCUUGUUGGUGGGGUAGUGGCUUACCAAGGCUUUGACGGGUAGCCGGCCUGAGAGGGCGACCGGCCACAUUGGGACUGAGAUACGGCCCAGACGCCUACGGGAGGCAGCAGUGGGGAAUAUUGCACAAUGGGCGGAAGCCUGAUGCAGCAACGCCGCGUGCGGGAUGACGGCCUUCGGGUUGUAAACCGAUUUCAGCAGGGGCGAAGCUUGUGGUGACGGUACCUGCAGAAGAAGCACCGGCUAACUACGUG